CCCACGUACUCACGCCGUCUCCGGCAACAAGAUGAUGAGACGCGCUCGCGCCCGCACCCUGCAUGCAAUUGCUGUCUCCGACGACAAGAUGGUGAGCCGCGCUCGCGCCCCCACCCUUCAUGCAAACCCUUUCUUCGAUGACAAGAUGGUGAGCCGCACUCGCUUCCCCCUCUCCUACUAGUGAUUUGAAGUUAACCGGUGCCUAAUGAUUCGAAGUUAUUGACAAUCUUUGAUCUAGUCAUUUGAAUUAGUACUAGUGCUUACUGAAUUACCUGAUGUGUAUGUGCAAGAACUACGUGGUGAUUAUAUGUCCUUGGACUUUCUAAUCGCUGGGUUCUCUUGUGGCAGAUGGAUGGGAAAAAUGAGAUGGCGCUGGUCCAGGGGGUGACGCCCAUGCGGGGGAGCACCGCGGCUUCAAGCUCAGUUGGUAAGUACUCCAUACUGGUUUUUCUGUGAGUAUCACGCCUAUUUUUUUGUCAUCAUUAGUAUAAUGAUAGUGGACUGAAGCUGGUCAGCUCUUUCCAUGCUGGAUUUUUGGCAUCGUUAGUAUACUGAUAUUGGACUGAAGCUGCUUAGCUCUUUCCAUGCUAGAUUUUGGCAUCAUUAGUAUAUUGAUAUUGGACUGAAGCAUGUUAGCUCUGUCCAUGCUCGGUUUUUUUUCAUCAUUAGUAUAGUGAUAUAUUGGACUGAAGCUGCACAUGUUUUGUUUCCAUUAACGUUGGUCUAGCGGUGCUACACAUCAGUAGGCCGAUCAUGGCCGCCAUACAUGCUUGAUUUUAAUCAAGUUCCACCCAGUUGGUUUUGUCACCAGACGCGUAUACAAAUGCGAGCACCGGCACUAUGUUGCAGCAUGGAAGACAUAUGAACUGUAAUAAGAAACAUGCAAUGGCUAGAAACAUCUCAUUACGAUUUUUUUGGCACGUUAUAGGUGUCAAUGAAAUUAGUCAGCUUGCCAGCCGUCGGAUCUGACACGUGGAGCAUUGGAUCACACCACAUGGCAGCAGAGAGAGUGGAACCUGUCUUCCUCCCUAGCCUCCACAAAACCUGUGUAUCCCCCACCCCUCCCCAUCGUUGCAACAGACUAUUGUGUCAGCCCCAUGGAGCACCUCAUGUCCAUGCUCUGGCGCAUACCUGAUGUCGCCUGGUAUCCUGCAAGCACUAUUACAGCGCGUCGGCGAGGAACAGUGUCAUACAACCGAGGUAGUUGAUGCGACCACAACCCUCACCCCUUUGUCGCAUUGGCUUGUGGCACUAGUAAUCGGCUAAAACACCCCCCGUGAGAACCUGCGGUUGCACCACUGCGAACUAUGCAGCGUAGGAAAUGUUGCAACAACCCCGUGGGUGUGUGCAUGGUGGAAAUAGACCGGAUGGAUAUGGUGAAGAGAGAGGAAUACAAGUGAGGGGCAUCUGGCGCUAGAGCGAGCUGACUCAUUUCCUCCUGAAACCAGUCUGUUGGAUAUAAUUCCAUUUUCUUUUUGGAAACCUCAUAAAACCGUUGCAAGAUGCGAGCAUGUCUAUACAAAAUAUAGUAGAUAUAGAACACAUACUCAUUAACUGCAACAAAUUAGUGAAAAAACACAAUGUAUAUAUGCCUGAACCGAUGGAUCAUUGCCAUGCAUCUUCCAACUCUUCCUUGGUUAGGCCCACCCGCGAACCGGACAAUUCUGUCACAGAUCAUUGUCUUAUCAACCACCAACUUGAUUCUUCCUCUCGUCUCCUCUCCCCACCCUUCACAACAUACACCCAUGUUUCUCAGCAAUAGACCCACUUGGAGGCCACAAUGGUGGCCAUGGUAGGCUAGUGAAAAGCACAAUGGUGGUCGGUCUUACAACACUAAACACAACAUUGCAACACGUGAUAACCCCAUUUUUAUAGCGCCGGUGCACCAUUUUGUGGAAAAGAAAAAAAUGCUAAUGACCUGCCAUGUUGCAUCGAUGCCUUGGACUUGCAGCAUUGCCAACCACCUUGUAGCAAUGAAAAGUUCACUGACCACUAGCUUUGCAGCAUCACAUGACCGGCUUCUAGCACUGAACACCCGGGCUAGCAGCACUGCGAUGAGCGAUGGUCAGCCUUGCAACAGUAUUGGUUGACAUUGCACACCACAUCUCCAUUUUUAUGUACAUACACAUGAGUGAACUUGGAACAUCAGUAACGUAUCAACAAUAGCAAUAUUGACGAGGAUGAAAUUUGAUUCCCCAAGAAUCAACAUUGCUGAAUAAGCGAGCAACUGCACAUCCACCCCAUGAGCCAUACUUUUUGAGCACUGCCACAACCGAUUAUACUAGAUUAAAAUGUACAUGAUCACAAUAGAUUAAAUGGCAGGGAGGGCGGACUGCAUGUGUUGAAUCAGGCUAGUCGCGUGGUCACAGGUGCCUUGUCUGACUAGCCAACAAGAUAGAAGGAGGCCGGCUGGGUUCUCAUUCGUGAAGCUAAGCAUAAAUCCAACUCCAGACACGCUCGGGGGCUACUGAAGGUGCAAUACACUAGGGGUGUCCUCUAAGUGGGAAGCCCGGUAGCAAACCUAUCUCAAGGCCCAAGAGGCAAGUCGAGGAUCUACGCAUGCAUGACACCGAAUAAGGUCCAAGAGAGCAUCUGGGCGUGCAAGCAAACAUGGCGAUGGUAUGAGAACUGGUGGAUUCCUUGUAAUCCCUAGCCCUCGUCACCUAUAUAAGGCAGGCCUAGGGGUUAUCAUUCACAUAUACUCUCCUGGACUAUACUCUCAGUAGCCUUAUACUUCAUCUCCGUUGAAAACCCCUCGCACAAGGUGCUUCACCAUGAAUAAAAAUCAGAUACAGGAUGUAGGGUAUUACCUCUCACUCAGGGCUCGAACCUGGAUAAAACCGUUGUGCCAACUCCCUUCUAUUACAUACGGCGCGUUCACCACCCUAUUAUGGGUACUAACAGCUUGCAAACCAUCGCUUUAAGUUCCGACACAUUUUCUCUGGGAGUUGAAAGCAACUCAUGGUGUAAGUAUGUGUUGCUUGAAGCACUGAUUUUACUAGCACCUCCUUUCCCGCCUUCGGGAUACCUUGUCCUUCCUAUCCAACCAAUUCGCCAUUUGAGUUUUCUCUAACAUAUUUAAAAUUUGCUUCCUUUGACCUACUCACCAAGGUUGGGAGCCCCAAAUAAUGCUCGCUCAAUGCCUUGGGAUUAGUGCAAAAAUAUUUAAAACAACUUUUUCCUCCUAUUUGCUUCCCUUUCCACAGAAAGAUGAUGCUUUUUGAAGAUUUGCCAUUUGUCCUAAGGCCAACUCGUAGUCAAACAGGAUCUAUUUUUAGGUCACAAAGUUGAUAUUUGAUGCUUGAAGAAAUAAUACACUAUCAUCUGCAAACAUAAGAUGGGCUACAUGGGGGCCAGUGCUCCCAAAAUGUACACAUUGAUCUCCUUAUCUUUGAGAAUUCAUGAGCAAUGCAAAAAAUAAACAAAUAGGGGGAUUGUGGGUCUCCUUGUCAGAUCCCUCUUGAUAGUGUAAAACUGAUAGAGCAACCUCCAUUCAAUUUGACAGAAAUCCUGGUCGGGGUAACAGAUGUCAUAGUUAUCAAGAUCCGGCUAUUUGAGAAACCAAGUGCCCUCAUCAUCAGAUUGUGGAAAAUCCAAAACACCCUCUUGUACUUUAAUAGCUAACAUUGGAUCUUUCUAUUAGUUGACCUGAUUGCAUGCAAACACACUCAUAUGUGACCAAUACAUUGUCUGUGAUAAGCCUACCAGGAAUAAUAUACUUUGUUCCUCCGAGAUCAUUAUGGACAGGAGAACCUUCAAACUAUUCGCUAGGCCUUUGAAGCAAUAUGACUGAGUGUAUUCUAUAAGCUCAUUGAUACAAUUUGACGAAGUAUCUCCAGUGAGUUAAUUUUUAGGAUUGGGACUAGAACCGUAUCACUGAAGUUUGCCGAUGCACCGACUCCUUUAUAAAAAUCCCCUACUACUAUGCGUACAUCACUUUUUUAGCAACGACUAAUGAAAUUGGUAAACAUAGUCGAGAGGUUGUCUGGCCCAGCGCUUUUUUCAGUCCAGUUUAGAAUGGUGCAUUCUCAAUUUCUUCAUCCAUCACAUCCGCGUUCACCCUCUCCCCCAUAUCAUUAAUCACACAUGGUUUUAUGUCAGCUAAGAUGUGGUCAGCUUCAGCAGAGCCUUCUGAAGAAAACAACUAAGCACAGAAAUCAACCGACAUCUUCCCCAUCUCUUUGUCAAUAGUACAACUCGUUCCAUCCGUGCUGAUGUUUUGUUCGUCUUCCUCAAGCUAUUUCAGUCGAGCAUGUUGCAUAUACAUUAUUUCUUCCCAGGCAUGAACCAAAUGAAGCUACGCUUCAAUCUAACGGAUCUCCACAAAGGAUCUGGAUCCUAACGCUCUCUCAUUUCCAUCGAAGCUGACCUUGUGCCUAGUGAUGUCAGAACAUACGAAGCAAAACACUGAGCCACUCCAAUGUUGCAUAUCAUUGGUGAUAUUGUUAAGCUUCCCGUACAACACACUCUGGCCGAAUUUUUAUCAAAUGCACACACCCAAGCAUCCAUGGAGCAUCCGCCUCUCCUCAAAUGUUAACGCUCUCUUCUUCCUUGUGGUAAUGACAAGUUUGUCUAGCGCUCUAAUAAUGAGUGAAGCAUGGUCUGGUCCUCCAUGUGAACAUGUUCAAUCCGUGGUGAAUCAACUGGGCAGGCUUUACCAGGCUUGAGCCUACCCUCAGCGACCAAAAGAAAAUUUUGGUAGUUAAUAGUGCAUGCUUCUAGUAGUAUUCUAGCAAAUUUUAACCUUGUUUGCACAAAAGAGCUGGGAGUUAGUGACUUUUUUUCACAUCAUUAACUUUGAGCCCCCCCUUGAUUUUAUUACAAGGUUCGCCACUAUGUUCAAUGGAUGUAUCCUAGAACGAAUGCAUGAAAUCAUCAUUGCAUGGACCCCUGUCCGGAUGUACCUAAAUGUUCUCAUCAUCAUCCCUUUUGUUGUCCCGUCUGUAUACAUAGCUACUAAAACAGAGGUUUGAAAAGCUGUUAUUGGCUACCUUCUUCCUAAUGUGCUCCAUUUGUGUGAAACUCCUAAAGUAAUCUCCUAGUUGUUGUGAUUGAAAGAAUACUUUGUUUUGGUAUCACUGUCAUAGAUAAAUUUAUUAUCAGGAUCUAGUCUCUCGAAACCUCCCUUAGCUACACAAAUUUGCUUCAAUCUCUCCUCCUAUCCAGUAGCUUUAGCUGAUAAUCCUUGUGAUGCCUUUGUUGAUCAUCACCACCCUUCCUCGUCUAAUGAACAAAAGUGCCUCGUCUGCGUUGCGUGGAGGUAGAUGGGUCUUCUUUGCCCAGUCACCUUGCACCCUUUCCCGUAUAAAUUUUUUAUGUCCUCCAUCCUUUCAUGCUCCUUCCUCAGCUCCCACAUCCUUUUUAGUUGCAAAUCAUCCCUUAGUUCACUUUCAUGUCACCGAUCUUGCUUGCAUUGGUCCUUCCUGUGUGUAUAAUCAUUGUAGCACUUGUGCCUAAAUGGGAGGUCGGGCAACGCUGCAUACUCCCUGUGAACAUAGAUGCACUUUCUUGACCUAGUGCUCCCAAGCUCCCACUUUCUUGACCUAGGAGCUAUGAUCGAGUGAUGCCCUGAAGCAUUCACCCAACUGGGGUGAGGAAUCAACAUGUGGUUCAAAUCUUGCAUCAGCAUGUGCUAGUCUAUCGCAGUCAAUCCACAAGUGAUGUAUAUUCUCAAAUUGAAAAUCAAGACAGUCCCCUCGUCUUUCACUGAAGAGUGGAGGAAGAAGCCUCGGACCAGUGAAACGAAUAUGAAAAUUCUAGCUCUAACUAUGAGAUGGUCCCCCCCCCCCAUAAAUCCAUCCUUCUCGAGAGCGUUCCCAAAAGUAGAUAAUGGUUUAUAGGGGAAGAUCCUUAAUUAUCACCCAUUACUCCAUGAUACAAAACAUUAUCUUUGAAAAACUAGUUUUACCAUCAUAAUCCUUCAAAACCAUCACACUAAAACCAAAUUUCCACAGUCCAUUAUAUAGAGCAUGCUUUUAGACUCCGUUUUGUCGAAUCUCAAGACGGAGAUAUUAUUGCCAAUGUGACUUAUCUGGGCUUCCUAGUAGAGUCCCCAUGCCUAUUGCAUAGCCUUAACAAACACAUUGAUGUUUAUUUGCAGAAGUGAGCACACCUUUCCAACAGCUGGCCACUUAGUAGGCCUGGGUUGGUCUAGAAUCCUGAUCCCAAACAUGAGGCAUAUUAGUUCCUUUUUGUCAAGUUCAAGGCUCCUUGUUUGGUUGAGAGAUGUGCUGCCUCCUGGAAGCAUUUUCGUCUGUCCGGGACUUUGAAGAUUCUCGGCUUAUCGAUCGUUUGUCGCACGGUUCAUGGACUUUGAAGAUUCUCGAAUUGUCAACUUACAGAUCCAUGCCACGCCAUGAUCUCCCAUCAUCGACCCGUAGAUGAAUAAAACCCUAACACUAGUACUAGUUGUCGGUCCCCUAUAGUCGACCUUAGCAUUUCCUUUCAUGGUGGGCCCACCACCAGCUAUUCCUCUCGGUCCUUCCCUUGGUACUUUUUCUGCGGUGGAGCCUUUGUGCUUCAUUUGGCUUUCUACAAUGGUGGAUGUAUCCAGCUCAUAAGUCUCCUCUAUCUAUAGGAAGCUAGUUUACAAGUUUCAUUCGAAAGAAGUCUUGUCGCAUGUAAAGACAUCACUAAGAGUGUGAUACAUAUAGGUGCAUACUUUGCGGAUGAUGGAAAUUUCAGCAGAUAUGAACAGCUCCAGGCGAGCACACAAACAAAUCAUCGACCAGAAAUGAUUCAUUUCCAAAGAAACAAAGUCGCAAAAAGAGAGACACGACAUUAUCUUCUUUAUGGAAAACACUUCUAUAUUUAAAUGUUGCUUUGCUCUUUGAUUAUUAAUAGGAAUCUUUUUACUAAUAUACUAAGUGUAAAUAUUUAUAGAUAUGGAAGGCAUUUUGUUUAGUAGGUUUUACUGAAUCAUACUCCCUCCGUUCCUAAAUAUAUAAGUCUUUUUAGAGAUUCCAAUGCGGACUACAUACAGAGUAAAAUGAUUGAAUCUACACUCUAAAAUAUGUGUAUAUAGAUCCGUAAAUAGUCUUUCUUGAAAUCUCUAAAAAGACUUAUAUUUAGGAAUGGAGGGGCCAUCGGUUUAUGGUAUGUUGAAAUUAGAAGAAGUUCAUGCGCCUUCAAGGCAUGUCACGGUUUGUUGUUCCACCUCAAACGGGGACAUACUACAUGGUUAUUCUCCCUGCAUAUGGCCCCUCUCCGCAUGCUCUUCCUCUCUCUCUCUCUCUCUCUCUCUCUCUCUCUCUCCAUUGUAUAUUCCAUAAUUGCUGACACGACUCCAUAAUGCCUAAUUGGUGAAGCUCCAAGAACACCUAGCAGUGAUGGGUUCAACACGCGUAAGUAGUCUAUACUUAGUGGAGAACUAACAAACCACUUAGAUGAAUGCGUCCGCCAGUGGUGGUCAAAUCAGAUAAGAAAUUCGGGCCAUGACCAGUCCAAAUCCGACACCUGCCAAUAAUGUGUACUCUCCACUACUCGAACCUUCUUCUCCUCAAUAUAUUGCACCGCCUGAUGUUUGGAGAAGCCAUAGAGUUGGGGAUCGGAAUAGAGGAAACAAUGGUGGGGAGUGUCUUUAAGAAUAGGAACCGAGAAUCCGGACGGUGAAGGCCUCGACCCUACUGCACCAUCGGCCCAUGAGCACUAACCCGUAUAUAUUGUGCAAGGACCGAGGCAGAAGUGAACACAAUCAUCACCUGGGUGGCAUAGGGAGUUGGACCUGGGUGUUCCUCCUCUCAAGCUAACUCAAUGAACUCUUGGAGGCAGCACCGAUGCGAGAUUCUGUAGAGAUGACAACAUUUUGAGGAGGUGGAGGGCCAGAUCAAGGUUUCUUCCUCAAAUGGUUUAUUUUCAGGGAAGAGGGGGAAGGGUAUGACAUGAUGAGCGAUUAACAAGGGAAGUGUGUGUGUCUGUGGAGGAUAAAUCAUGAAGACAAGUCUGCUAGUAGCUAGAGAAGGGACAAAUGAUAGCAGGAACGAAUAAUGAUCUUACCUUGUGGGGCUACUAGUUUUAAGUUGUGAACUAAAUGACAGGGUAAUGAUUUAGUCACUAUCGUGCUGUGACUUGGGAUUGUAAGUGGUGGGUUGUAUAUGACUAACAAGUAGCAUGCUUAGCCUCAAUAUUGUCCUCUAUCACUGGUAACAAUGUAUCAUUGAUGGACCACAUAUUGGGCCCAUCACUACUACCUUUUAAAAAAAAGAUUUUUAGUUGUCAUCAGAUUCACGACAAUCCCGCCAUCCAUUACUACAAAGUAGCACUACUGAUGGGUUAUGUGACCCACCACUAUUGAUCAAUAACUAGAGGAUAACUCUAGCAUAGUGCUCAUCCGUUUCUUUGAGAUUUUAUUAGUGUUUUCUUGUUCACGAAGACAUAUCAAUUGACCCUAACAAGUUUUCUCUUUAGGUGUGGUUGAGAGUGCAAACACGGGGAGCUUGAAAGCAGGGAAAAUGGCACCUAGAGUGGUCCAGGUCUCCAUGAUGAACAACCACAACUUUGAUUUGAAUGAGCUGUCGGCUGAACAUGAGCAGCCCGAGGAGAAGGAGUAGCCGCGUGUGGCACAACAUGAGCUUUGAUAUUCACAACGGCUGGAGGCUGCUCAAAUCUGCAUCUAUGAGAAAAAAUGACUCUUCGCCAAAAGCAUAGCCCUGUCGGAAAUUAUCAAAACUAUCCCUUUCCUGAGGAUAAUGGGAAGGCUUGUUUGGAACUUUUAAAUUUCUCGCUUCCUACUUUUUUGCAAUUGACUAACAUUAUUGCUAAACUUGAGGGAGGGAGUCGGUAUACUGCAUCAUGAUCACCCUAUCCACUUGAAAUGGCCUUUCUAUUCAUUUCCCAUGAUGGUUUUGGUAUCUAGAUUGUUUCAACAAGAAUAUAUUCAUAUGGUAAAGCUUUGUGAAACAUUAGCGAUGGAGCUAGGUCUCAGGUCGUGUGAAAAUACAGUAAGUCAAGAAGUGUGUUAGCUCAUGAGAUAAUAUACUUUUGAAGUUGGUCAUCAUGUGUGUUGACACAAUGGGUAGUAUGAGAGAAGUUUGGCAUGCAUCUUUGGGUUUGAAACGAGUUGUCUAAUUGGACCUUCAUAUGGCCGAAAAAGGGAGAAAACAUGGCUAAUAGGAUGCACAAAUGAUAUGGAAGGUA
rnacentral:lncRNA from 1 species